rnacentral:lncRNA from 1 species
CCGGACUCUGAGCCUGGUGCCCUUUCUUCCCUAAAACCUCUCAGGUCAGCUGGAGGAGGGGAACAGAACGGCCGGCCGCAUCUGACAUCAGAGGAGGCAGGAGCCUCUGCUCCCUGUGGUGGAUCUUGCCUGGGAAAUGUAAAUAGUUUAGAGAAGAGGACAUGCGUCUGGCUUCCCGGCCACCCAGAUGGGCGCUGAGGACAAGGACCUCUAAUCCCCCUCCACCAUGCACACCCACACUCCCCGCCCUCCCUGCAACCCAGAGCCCCCUCCUUGUCUAGAGGUCCAGACCUUUCACGGGACAGAAGGUGAAAGGUCAAGAUCUUCGGCAACCAAGUUCCCCAAGCAAAGAAAAUGAUGUAGCCUUCAACCAACCAGUAUUUAUUUGAUGCCUACUGUUUAUUAGGAUCUGUACUUAGCAUAUUAAGGCCGGGAGGUUGUGAGAGAAAGAAUGCUUGAACCCGUUUUGCUCAUUAUAAAAGACUGUCAAGUACGUACUUCCUGCCCAGCCCAGAGUUUGGCUCUAGGUAUAAGGAGAAAUGAAAGAUUCCUGACCUUGAAGGUCUAAGGUCCAAUGAAAGAACUGAGUAAGAUACACACUGACGAAGAAAUGGAUGAAGAAAUUAAUGGAUUGGUAUGAAAAAGAAUGAGCACCAUUCAAAAGUGCAGCUAGGGGUUGAGUUGUGGCUCAGAGGUAAAGCGCUCGCCUAGCAUGUGUGAGGCA